AAUCCUUGUUGUGGGCACUUCCGCAAAAGAUCCUUGAAUCGCUCCCACGUCUUAAACAAAGAUUCAAGCUCUACGUAGAAAAAUGAUGAUAUCCCAUUAUGAAGCUU